CCUACGGGAGGCAGCAGUGAGGAAUAUUGGUCAAUGGGCUUACGCCUGAACCAGCCAAGUCGCGUGAGGGAAGACUGCCCUAUGGGUUGUAAACCUCUUUUGUCAGGGAGCAACGCCGGCUACGUGUAGCCGGACUGAGAGUACCUGAAGAAAAAGCAUCGGCUAACUCCGUGCCAGCAGCCGCGGUAAUACGGAGGAUGCGAGCGUUAUCCGGAUUUAUUGGGUUUAAAGGGUGCGUAGGCGGAAUGCCAAGUCAGCGGUAAAAGCGCGGGGCUCAACCUCGCUCCGACGUUGAAACUGGCGUUCUUGAGUGGGCGAGAAGUAUGCGGAAGGCGUGGUGUAGCGGUGAAAUGCAUAGAUAUCACGCAGAACUCCGAUUGCGAAGGCAGCAUACCGGCGCCCAACUGACGCUGAAGCACGAAAGCGUGGGUAUCGAACAGGAUUAGAUACCCCAGUAGUC
rnacentral:rRNA from 1 species